rnacentral:misc_RNA from 1 species
GAAAAAUCUGGUCAAGUUUCGACAAGUUGGGUACAGAAGGAAGCGAAAAGUUGGGAAUGAGGUGCACAGAGGUCCCUUAAGAAACAUGCCAGAGGGAUUUUGAGUUGUGUUUGUUUCUGUAUUAAAAGUUGGGAAAUGUGUUUAAAUAGAGAAUUAAAACAAACUGGUUCAGAUUGAAAUUAUAGUGGGGAAUGGGAUGGUGUUGGUGUGCCAUGUGAUUUUAUUUAUAAC